CAGACCUCUACUGGAGUUGCAGUUCCUACAGAAGAAGUGGCUGGCCUCAUCCUGUUUGCUAUUAUCACCACAUUCAUCAUUCUUGCUGUCCUGCUGUUACUUGGAAUUGUGUAUAUGAGACGUGGAGGAGCUGUGAGAAACAGCAGAAUGAACCAAAGGGCUGUCCAUUCUGACACCCCUGAUGAGACAUACACAGCUCUCAACCCCAGAAGCACAUCCUCUGAGUAUGACACUCUGCAGGCCUCAGUGUAUGAGAAUCUGCAGAGAAGAGAGACGCCCCAGUCAGAGAUGGAGCUGAAGGAUCUCGGGAUGAGAUGCCAACACCAACCAUGACUUCUGGACUC